GACGAACGCUGGCGGCGUGCCUAAUACAUGCAAGUAGAACGCAGUUGCGAACGGAUGAGUAACGCGUAGGUAACUUCCUGGUAGCGGAGGGUAACGAUUGGAAAAGAUAGCUAAUACCGCAUACUACCAGAGGGACCUGCGUUGUAUUAGCUAGUUGGUGGGGUAACGGCUCACCAAGGCAACGAUACAUAGCCGGCCUGAGAGGGUUAUCGGCCACACUGGGACUGAGACACGGCCCAGACUCCUACGGGAGGCAGCAGUAGGGAAUCUUCGGCAAUGGACGGAAGGCUGACCGAGGAACGCCGCGUGAGUGAAGAAGGUUUUCGGAUUGUAAAGCUUUGUUGUAAGAGAAGCGGUAUCUUACCAGAAAGGGAUGGCUAACUACGUGCCAGCAGCCGCGGUAAUUC
rnacentral:rRNA from 1 species